rnacentral:rRNA from 1 species
AUACAAACACCCGACCCCGAACGGCGGAUCACUUGGCUCGUGGAUCGAUGAAGACCGCAGCUAUCUGCGCGUCGUCGUGUAAUCCGCAGGUUAUACGAACAUCGACCAGUCGAACGCACAUUGCGGCCUCGGUGACCCGCGGGUCCCGGGCCACGCCUGUCUGAGGGUCGUACACCGGAUACUCGGCCAGACCGACGCGGCGCCCUCUCCGGGGGGCGCCGCGAGAUUGGCGGUUCGACCGGACGUCUGCCCGGUCGUCCGCCCAAGUUGUGACGGCAAACAGUCACGGGUUCUCGCGUCGUCCGACGGCGCGUCCCCGUCCGCCCGUCGCGCGCUCCGGCGCGCGGCCGGGUCGGUUGAGAGUCGCGCGAGCGCGACCUCUCCGGCUUCCGAGAAGCGGACGGCGUCGCAGCCGUGUGGGACGGAGCGCGGACCGCAGGCUGCCGGAAAAAACACAAACACACGUUCCGACCUCAGAUCAGGCGGGACUACCCGCCGGAUUUAAGCAUAUUAAUAAGCGGAGGAAAAGAAAACAACCGUGAUUCCCCCAGUAGCGGCGAGCGAACAGGGAAGAGCCCAUCGCCGAAUCCCGCCGCGCACUUUUGUGUCGCGGCACGUAUGGGAGUUGUGGCGUACGGGCCGGCCUCGUUGCCGGGGCGCACGCGACGGUCCAAGUCUCCCUUGAACGGGGCCAUGGCCCGCAGAUGGUGCCAGGCCAGUAGAGGCCGUCGCAGCGUUCCGGGAUCGGACCGCGCCUUCGAGUCGGGUUGCUUGAGAGUGCAGCCCGAAGCGGGUGGUAAACUCCAUCUAAGGCUAAAUACGGCCACGAGACCGAUAGUGGACAAGUACCGUGAGGGAAAGUUGAAAAGAACUUUGAAGAGAGAGUUCAUAAGAACGUGAAACCGUUCGGGUGUAAACGGACAGAGCCCGCGAGUCCCCGCCGGGCGAAUUCACGGUCGGUGGUCUCCCGACCGCCGGCCGGAUUUUUCGCCCGGUCAGCGGACGUCGCGACUCGUUGGGCGCCGGCCGAAGGGCCCGGGUGACGGUUCGUCGCGUCGGUCGCGUUUCGGCGCGGCCGUCUGCGCCGAACCCCGGUGCUCCUGGUCGGCUCGCCCGACGGCAAGAACCGUCGACGAGGCCCCGUCGCAGGCGGGGUCCAGUCGGUCGGCGACGAGUAUCGGGCUACUUUCCGACCCGUCUUGAAACACGGACCAAGGAGUCUAACGUGUGCGCGAGUCAACGGUGACGUGACGAAAAACCACGUGUGGCGCAAUGAAAGUGAACCGUUUACUCGGUGCGGACGACGGCCUAGCGACCGAACCCUCCGGCGUUCAGAGUUGCACUGGUCUGCAGUCCGGGGGCGUCUCCGCCGGGUCGGCUUCGGCCGUCCGGGGGCGCACCCUUAGCGCACACGUUGGUACCCGAAAGAUGGUGAACUAUGCCUGGCCAGGAUGAAGUCAGGGGAAACCCUGAUGGAGGUCCGCAGCGAUUCUGACGUGCAAAUCGAUCGUCUGAGCUGGGUAUAGGGGCGAAAGACUAAUCGAAC